CAGGGCCUUCUAGGGAUACCACCACCUUUUCAGGGGGGCCAGGCUCUACAACGGAGUCUUCUAGGGAUACCACCAUCUUUUCCAAGAGGCCAGGCUCUACAACUGGCCUUGCCCAUCAGGACUACACUAAGGGGAACCUGGUCCGGAUAUGCCUCGGGGCUGCGAUUCUCUUACUCCUGGCGGGCAUCCUGGUAGAAGAUUGGCACAGCCGGAAGAAAUUCCGGCUGCACUGGGUCCCGGCUGUCCACAGGCCACUCCCACCCCUCCCAGGGGCUCAGAAGUCACAAAAUGGUCAGGACGGGGGUCGACCAGUUGGCCAUUUCCAGGGUUUGCCACCAUCAGAACCUCAAGACGUGGCUGUAUCCAAGAGGUCAUGAGAGCAGGGAGGGGACUUGGCGUGUGUGUGUGUGUGUGUGUGU